CCCUUAGAUGUUCUGGGCCGCACGCGUGCUACACUGAGUGGAUCAGCGGGUCAGGUUGCGCGAAAGUGUUUCCUAAUCUUUAAAUCCGCUCGUGAUGGGGAUUGACGGUUGCAAUUUUCCGUCAUGAACGAGGAAUACCUUGUAAGCGCGGGUCAUCAUCCCGCGCUGAAUACGUCCCUGCCCUUUGUACACACCGCCCGUCGCUCCUACCGAUUGAGUGGUCCGGUGAGGCUUUGGGAUCUGAGCGGAAAGAGCGUUUCGCUGUUUCUGCCCGGACAACUCAGUCGAACCUUAUCAUUUAGAGGAAGGAGAAGUCGUAACA
rnacentral:rRNA from 1 species